GCGGCAGGGAUUAGAGGCUGGCAGAGCUUUCUCCCAGCCCCAGGAACCUAGAGGAAGACCAAUCAGCACAAUGUACCCUGAAGAAAUGGGGCUGAUCUUGGGCUUUGUGUGAUGGGAGCAGCAGGAAUCCCUGAGUCUGAGCAGCGCCAGGACUUGGCUCCCCUCCUCCCCUCUUUCUGCCCUUCUCUCCUCCACAAGCUCCCAGAGGACACAGACUGCUUCCCCAAAUCUACUGUGACACCGCCUUCCAGUUCCAUCACUACUAGAUUAAAGGAAAGCCAUGAUGGCUGAAGCACAGGACAAGGAGCUUGAGGCUCAGAACUUUCCUGAGACCUCACAGGACUCCCAAGGCCACUCUCAUAACCACUGAGCACUGCUGCCCAGUGGUCACGUAUGGAUGUGAGAGUUGGACUAUAAAGAUAUUU